GCAGGUGGGGCUCGUUAGCCAUGGUAGGCAAUUCACCUAGGAGAGCAAACUCUAUACAAACCCGGGCAGGUGGAGGUCGUUAGCCGUGGUAGGCAAUUCACCUAGGAGAGCAAACUCUAUACAAACCCGGGCAGGUGGAGCUCGUUAGCCGUGGUAGGCAAUUCACCUAGGAGAGCAAACUCUAUACAAACCCGGGCAGGUGGAGGUCGUUAGCCGUGGUAGGCAAUUCACCUAGGAGAGCAAACUCCGAACAAUAAACCCGGGCAGGUGGAGCUCGUUAGCCGUGGUAGGCAAUUCACCUAGGAGAGCAAACUCUAUACAAACCCGGGCAGGUGGAGCUCGUUAGCCGUGGUAGGCAAUUCACCUAGGAGAGCAAACUCUAUACAAACCCGGGCAGGUGGAGGUCGUUAGCCGUGGUAGGCAAUUCACCUAGGAGAGCAAACUCUAUACAAACCCGGGCAGGUGGAGCUCGUUAGCCGUGGUAGGCAAUUCACCUAGGAGAGCAAACUCCGAACAAUAAACCCGGGCAGGUGGAGCUCGUUAGCCGUGGUAGGCAAUUCACCUAGGAGAGCAAACUCCGAACAAUAAACCCGGGCAGGUGGAGCUCGUUAGCCGUGGUAGGCAAUUCACCUAGGAGAGCAAACUCCGAACAAUAAACCCGGGCAGGUGGAGCUCGUUAGCCGUGGUAGGCAAUUCACCUAGGAGAGCAAACUCCGAACAAUAAACCCGGGCAGGUGGAGCUCGUUAGCCGUGGUAGGCAAUUCACCUAGGAGAGCAAACUCUAUACAAACCCGGGCAGGUGGAGCUCGUUAGCCGUGGUAGGCAAUUCACCUAGGAGAGCAAACUCCGAACAAUAAACCCGGGCAGGUGGAGCUCGUUAGCCGUGGUAGGCAAUUCACCUAGGAGAGCAAACUCCGAACAAUAAACCCGGGCAGGUGGAGCUCGUUAGCCGUGGUAGGCGAUCUGCCUAGGAGAGCAAACUCCGAACAAUAAACCCGGGCAGGUGGAGCUCGUUAGCCGUGGUAGGCGAUCUGCCUAGGAGAGCAAACUCCGAAAAAUAAACCCGGGCUUGUGGUGCUCGUUAGAUGUCGUAGACAAUCCACGUGAUGGGAACACCAAAGAAAAGGAAAAUAAAGAAGAACAUCAGAAAAAGGAAAAUAAAGAAACGAAACAUCAAGAAAAGAAAACGCAAACACUGAUCAUCCACCUUUCGGCCCUGACUAACAUCAACAAAAUUAUGGGUGAGUCUCUUCUGGGGAGAAAGCGGCUCACCCAGACCAAAGAACAUCAACAAAAGGAUGAAAGAGAAAAGAACAUCUAGAAACUAUGGAAAAGAAAAAAGAACAAAAAAAACAUCGGAAAAGAAAAGUAACAGCAAUAAAAGAACAUCAAGAAAAGAAAAAUACAAAGAAACAUCAUCCACCUUUCGGCCCUAAGUAACAUCACCAAAAUUAUGGGUGGGUCUCUUCUGGGGAGAAAGCGGCUCACCCAGACCAAAGAACAUCAACAAAAGGAUGAUAUGAAUAAAUGAACAUAAAAAAGAACAUAAAGAAAACACAUCAAGGAAAGAAAAAUACAAAGAAACAUCAUCCACCUUUCGGCCCCAAUCAACAUCGCCAAAAUUAUGGGUGGGUCUCUUCUGGGAGGAAAGAGGCUCAUUCAGACCAAAGAACAUCAACAAAAGGAUGAUAGGAAUAAAAACAUAAAGAAAAGAAAUAAGAAGAAAAAGAACAAAGAAACAUCGAAAAAGAAAAACAGCCGCAAUAAAAAGAGAAAGAAAAAACAUCAAGGAAAGAAAAAUAUAACAAACAUCAUCCACCUUUCGGCCCUGACUAACAUCACCAAAAUUAUGGGUGGGUCUCUUCUGGGAGGAAAGCGGCUCACCCAGACCAACGAACAUCAACAAAAGGAUGAUAGGAAGAAAAGAACACCAGAAAUAACAUCAAAAAAGAAAACCAACAGCAAGAAAACACAAAGGAAAAGUAAAAGAAAGAAAAAGAAAGAAAAGAAAAAGAAAAAC